rnacentral:rRNA from 1 species
UGACCGCUGGCGGCGUGCCUACUACAUGCAAGUCGAGCGAACAGAUGAGGAGCUUGCUCCUCUGACGUUAGCGGCGGACGGGUGAGUAACACGUGGAUAACCUACCUAUAAGACUGGGAUAACUUCGGGAAACCGGAGCUAAUACCGGAUAAUAUAUUGAACCGCAUGGUUCAAUAGUGAAAGACGGUUUUGCUGUCACUUAUAGAUGGAUCCGCGCCGCAUUAGCUAGUUGGUAAGGUAACGGCUUACCAAGGCGACGAUGCGUAGCCGACCUGAGAGGGUGAUCGGCCACACUGGAACUGAGACACGGUCCAGACUCCUACGGGAGGCAGCAGUAGGGAAUCUUCCGCAAUGGGCGAAAGCCUGACGGAGCAACGCCGCGUGAGUGAUGAAGGUCUUCGGAUCGUAAAACUCUGUUAUUAGGGAAGAACAAAUGUGUAAGUAACUAUGCACGUCUUGACGGUACCUAAUCAGAAAGCCACGGCUAACUACGUG